rfam:Dipodomys ordii contig_15865, whole genome shotgun sequence.
GUGUUGUAUGAAAGAAGAGAAGGUUAUCACUCCCCUUGACAAAGAUGAAGAGGCCCUUGGGCUUGACAACAUGCAUAUGAUUAAGGCAUUGCCACCUACUUCUAUGAAUAACUUUUGUGAUAGUUU